UAAGCGGAGGAAAAGAAACUAACAAGGAUUCCCCUAGUAACGGCGAGUGAAGCGGGAAGAGCUCAAAUUUGUAAUCUGGCGCCUUCGGCGUCCGAGUUGUAAUCUCGAGAAGUGUUUUCCGCGCUGGACCGCAUACAAGUCUGUUGGAAUACAGCGUCAUGGUGGGUGAGAACCCCGUAACUGAUGCGGAUGCCCAGUGCUUUGUGAUACACUUUCGAAGAGUCGAGUUGUUUGGGAAUGCAGCUCAAAGUGGGUGGUAAAUUCCAUCUAAAGCUAAAUAUUGGCGAGAGACCGAUAGCGAACAAGUACCGUGAGGGAAAGAUGAAAAGCACUUUGGAAAGAGAGUUAACAGUACGUGAAAUUGUUGGAAGGGAAACGCUUGAAGUCAGACUUGCUAUUUGGAGUUCAGCCGCAAGGUGUAUUCUUCAGUUGGCAGGCCAGCAUCAGUUUUUGGGGGUGGAAAAGGGUUUGGAGAAGGUAGCAGUCUCGGCUGUGUUAUAGCUCCUUGCUGGAUUCACCCUUGGGGAUUGAGGAACGCAGCGCGCUUUUUGCAAGGUCUUCGGGCUUUUCGCGCUUAGGAUGCUGGUGGAAUGGCUUUAAACGACCCGUCUUGAAACACG
rnacentral:rRNA from 1 species